CUUAAAUCCAUUAGGUAUAAAGACAAAUGUUGUUGACAACAACAUGUAAGAAACAAAACGUACCUUUAUUUUUAAAAUAUUGAUAUAAUUUUAAUUAUUCAAAUGUUUUUCAUUCAUUUAAUCAUUUCUCCUUAUUUUUCAAUCUUAUCGAUUCUGUAAUUAUUCUAAGUAUUGAUUCUGUUAUUCUUUAAUUUUGAAGUUUUAGAGCUAUUGACACGAGAUUUAUAUUUAAAACAAUUGGACUGUUUGAGACCAUUGAAACGGGUAAGGUUUUAUAACACUGCUGAGUGGAUCCUCAGAUGGGUCUAGGCCUGAAAAAAUUCUUGAAGGAGCAACAGUAUCAUAAACCACUUAAAUCAAGGGUCAAGGUCUGGUCGCCACACAAGAAGGGCAGAGAUGCCAAGGAGUUAUCAAAAACAGGGCUGUACCCGCGCCUUACGACAUCUCCGGAUGUUGAUAUGACCACCGGACACUACGAGCCAGAUUCAUCGAGCAGCUACCAACAGUCAGUCGUAGAGAAUACGCUCUCCUCCGUCUCACGAGGUUCAACGGUCGCGGUCUGACCGACUGACACGACACAACAAUUGAUAUUGAUAUUAUAUAAGUAAGAUGUAUAUGAGGGGUACUUCUGUUAGUCACGUAUCCAAUAAAUUUAUAAAAUCGAAAAUCCAAAAAAUUUAAAUAGUCCACUUUGUAAUCUAUCUGUUUGACUCGCAACUCUUUUCCUCCGUUAACCUGCUCACAACUGCGUCCGUAUUUCAACAAUAUUUACGUAAAUACGUAUUUUUAUAAAUAAAACCAGAAAAAUGGAAGUUAUGCAGUCAAUUACGAAAUAUAAUAAUGAGUAUUAUAUUUCUACAUUUUUAUACUUCCGAAUUUCUCAUAAAUGAAUAAAAACCCGUUGUUUAGUAGCAAGUUUUUUAUAUGUAUUA
rnacentral:misc_RNA from 1 species